AAGCUUGAUCCUGGCUCAGAAUCAACGCUGGCGGCGUGCCUAACACAUGCAAGUCGAACGAGAAAGUGGAGCAAUCCAUGAGUAAAGUGGCGCACGGGUGAGUAACACGUGACUAACCUACCUUCGAGUGGGGGAUAACCUAGGGAAACCUGGGCUAAUACCGCAUAACACUUACGAGUCAAAGCAGCAAUGCGCUUGAAGAGGGGGUCGCGGUCGAUUAGUUAGUUGGCAGGGUAAUGGCCUACCAAGACUGUGAUCGAUAUCCGGCCUGAGAGGGCGCACGGACACACUGGAACUGAAACACGGUCCAGACUCCUACGGGAGGCAGCAGUGGGGAAUUUUGCGCAAUGGGGGAAACCCUGACGCAGCAACGCCGCGUGGAGGAUGAAGUCCCUUGGGACGUAAACUCCUUUCGACCGGGAAGAUAAUGACGGUACCGGAAGAAGAAGCCCCGGCUAACUUCGUGCCAGCAGCCGCGGUAAUACGAGGGGGGCAAGCGUUGUUCGGAAUUAUUGGGCGUAAAGGGUGCGUAGGUGGUUCGGCAAGUCUUGUGUGAAAUCUUCAGGCUCAACUUGAAGUCUGCAUAAGAAACUGCCGGGCUUGAGUAUGGGAGAGGUGAGUGGAAUUUCCGGUGUAGCGGUGAAAUGCGUAGAUAUCGGAAGGAACACCUGUGGCGAAAGCGGCUCACUGGACCAUUACUGACACUGAGGCACGAAAGCUAGGGGAGCAAACAGGAUUAGAUACCCUGGUAGUCCUAGCCCUAAACGAUGAUCGCUUGGUGUGGCGGGUAUCCAACCCUGCCGUGCCGCAGCUGACGCGUUAAGCGAUCCGCCUGGGGAGUACGGUCGCAAGGCUGAAACUCAAAGGAAUUGACGGGGGCCCGCACAAGCGGUGGAGCAUGUGGUUUAAUUCGACGCAACGCGAAGAACCUUACCUGGGCUCGAAAUGUAGUGGAAUCCGGUGGAAACAUCGGCGCCCAGCAAUGGGCCGCUAUAUAGGUGCUGCAUGGCUGUCGUCGGAU
rnacentral:rRNA from 1 species